AAUUCACUUUACCUUAAUAUCAUCGCCAUGGCUCUUGGAGUUUGCCUGCAAGUCUUGUGCUUGCUGCCUUCUUUGUUCUCAAACGGUGUGAUGAAGUAUCAAGGUGUUAUUUGGAAUUUUUUUUGAAGAAAUUUACUGCAGAAGUUGAACCAAAUGACCAGGUUGUUUUGAAUAAUUGUAAGGUUGAUGAUAAUCCUUCUUUGACAAAUGCUUCCAAGAUGUAGCAUCUAUUAUUGCGAGAGUUGGACUCGGGCCUCACUGCAUUAGCAUAGGAAGUGUCCGACAUGUUGAGCAAGCUGUUGGCAGAAAAUACUCUGCGAGGAUAUUACUAACAUUGAAGAGUUCUCUCGCCAUUUUGGAGCUGUUGACUUGAGGAUACCUGAUAAAGAGAGAACACUAACAGAGGCUUGAGCACUUACCAUCUGAUCUGAUCCUACUAAGCAAAAGUAAUCACUUGGAAUAUUUAGAACUGGCAAGAAGAAGACGCACUUCUUAUUCUCAUAUUUACGUCUGACAUUGUUACUCAACAAGAAAUACUUGAAAAUUGUAGUUAAUAGAUGGUGCUAUCAUAUUAGAAAGUAUUUUUUUUGUAAUCUCUUUUGAUAAAUUUAGUAGCAAGAAAAUCAUCUGAGUUCAGUAAGUAAGGAGGAUUUGCCAAAGUGUCCUCUCUUUUAUGUAAGGCAUCAUUUUUCUUCCUGAUUUUACAGAUGAACUUACAAAAGGGAAGAGAUUUUCAGUUCUUGGUUUCCAUGGAGAACUUUUCCCUCAUAAUUUAAUUUUGACUAUGCCUAAUUAAGCUUCUUCUAGAAUUGCUAUGUUU